rnacentral:rRNA from 1 species
CUUAACCUGGGAAUUGCAUUCGAUACUGCCAAGCUAGAAUGUGGAAGAGGGAAGUGGAAUUUCCGGUGUAGCGGUGAAAUGCGUAGAUAUCGGAAGGAACACCAGUGGCGAAGGCGGCUUCCUGGUCCAACAUUGACGCUGAGGUGCGAAAGCGUGGGGAGCGAACAGGAUUAGAUACCCUGGUAGUCCACGCCGUAAACGAUGAGAACUAGAUGUCGGGGGAUUUAGCCCUUCGGUGUCGCAGCUAACGCGUUAAGUUCUCCGCCUGGGGAGUACGGUGGCAACACUAAAACUCAAAGGAAUUGACGGGGACCCGCACAAGCGGUGGAGCAUGUGGUUUAAUUCGAUGCAACGCGAAGAACCUUACCUGCCCUUGACAUUGACAGAACCCUUUAGAGAUAGAGGGGUGCUUCGGCCUGGAAAACAGGUGCUGCAUGGCUGUCGUCAGCUCGUGUCGUGAGAUGUUGGGUUAAGUCCCGCAACGAGCGCAACCCUUGUCUUUAGUUGCCAUCAUUAAGUUGG